rnacentral:rRNA from 1 species
CGGCGGACGGGUGAGUAAUGCCUAGGAAUCUGCCUGGUAGUGGGGGACAACGUUUCGAAAGGAACGCUAAUACCGCAUACGUCCUACGGGAGAAAGCAGGGGACCUUCGGGCCUUGCGCUAUCAGAUGAGCCUAGGUCGGAUUAGCUAGUUGGUGAGGUAAUGGCUCACCAAGGCGACGAUUCGUAACUGGUCUGAGAGGAUGAUCAGUCACACUGGAACUGAGACACGGUCCAGACUCCUACGGGAGGCAGCAGC